UGCCUGGCGGCCAUAGCGCCGUGGACCCACCUGAUCCCAUGCCGAACUCAGAAGUGAAACGCGGUAGCGCCGAUGGUAGUGUGGCAUUCGCCAUGCGAGAGUAGGACACUGCCAGGC
rnacentral:rRNA from 1 species